GACACCCUAACAUUUUUUAACACUAAAAUUUUGAAGAGCUUACAGGUUACGCCUAAAGACUACACGGUCAGAUUUUUGAACCCACAUGCUGCCACUGUUUAUCAUCUUUUUCAUUCAAAGGAGACAACUCAAAAACCUCUAAACCACCUAUCCUAAUCUCCAUGGCUGCUCGUUACUACCCAAACGACCAUCCCACCUCCACCAGCUGACCAAUGUCCGCCAUCUUCACACCAGUCGACGCCCAAAUGACCAGCAACCACCAGUCACAACCAGCUGAACACCACCCGCAACAGGGAACUUGCUGUCUCUUCUUCUUCGAUCCCAAACGACCACUCCUCCUCCAAUCUCCAUCGCCAUCCUCUCCUCGUCUCAAAACCUCCAGAAACGACCAACCCGUGCAGCCAUGAAACCACUCUUGAGGUUGUCGUUCGUGUUAUGAGUUCCGCUCGGGAUUUCCAUUAGCGGUUUCACAGUCUCCGGUCAAAGGUUUCCGGUUUGGUCGAGUUUUAUUUGCGGUUCUGGGUCCAACUUGUUAUUGCUUUCUUGGAGUCAAGAUAUGUGUAAUUGUUGACUUUCGUUGUUAUUGAGGUGCAAAGGGAAAUUAAUUUGACUGCUAGUUCAUUGGAUAUCAACUUCUGGUUGGUUUUUGUUUGGAUCGUCAGAUUCACCUAUUGUCAUUGUUAGGUAAGUCUCUCGUUUCUCUAUAUUUUUGUUUCCUUAGUGUUGCUAAUCUUAUAUUGUGGUCUGAUAGAUAAAAACAAUGGAUGUGUCAUGUAGAAUUAUUGAUCUUUCUAGGAUAAAAAUGAAUCCAUGCCUUGAAUAAGCAUAGGCACAUCUUCAUAUACUGAUAUACAUGUGUAUCAUGCAUAUUUUAGUCCCUUCUCACAUUUUUUUAUAUAAAUAUAUGUAGCGGCAUGUAAACUUUAAAUUUUUUCAGCUUAUUUUCUUGGCUCUCCUAGUAAUGUGGAUCGAUGUUCCUUGGUAAUAUUUGUUAUUCUGUAAAUAUAUUUUGGCUAGUAUUAUGUAAAAACAGAAUAUGCAAAUUGGUAAUGUAAAAGAAUAUAUAAAUUCCAUAUCAAUUUAUUCGAAAACCCAUGGCAUUCACUUAAUUAAUUUUAAACCUAUAAAAAGGGAUGUGCCAGUAGUUGGAUAUUCCAUGGCCCUCGCAAAGUAAAAAGAGAAUCGUAGUUGAUUUUAGGUUUUCCCUUUAAAUAAUAAAUGAGACGAGCCUUGCCAAAUAAAAUACAAACUGCGGGGGCCUCAUAAAUGUAUACAUUAAAAAUACUUAGACUCUUGGAUGUGCCGAUUAGCUAAUUGCACGGCCUUCUCCAAAAUAAUAACGCGUUAGACUCUUUAGGCGCAUAUUUAAAUAACAUUACCUCCCUAAACCCGUGUGUACAUUUAUGUGACCCAAAUCUAAAUCCCAACAAAGUCGGAAUGUGUCGACGAUCACGUGUACACUGGUUGUGAUAUGGUUAGAAAUAAGUUUUCGCGACGUUGCAAUUGAUUCUUAAAAUAAUAACACCCUUUUGCUUUAACUUUUGCUAUAAUUUUAGCUUUUGCUUUAAUUUUAACUUUUACUUUAACUUUUACUUUUACUUUUGUUUUAUCUUUUACCUUAACUUUAACUUUUAUUUUAACUUUUACUUUCGCUUUAACUUUUGCUUUUUACUUUAACUUUUGCUUUAACUUUGGCUUUUGCUUUCCUUUUAAGCUUUUGCUUUAUUAAAAUAAUAAUAACAAUUAAAAAAGGCGGUUAAAAUAAUCAUGACUUGCACUAGUACAUAAUUAUUAAAAUUAGAUAAAUAAGCCGGAUAUAAAAAUUGAGCAACCGUGCUAGAACCACGGAUCUCGGGAACGCCUAACACCUUCUCCCGGGUUAACAGAAUUUCUUAUCCGGAUUUCUGGUACGCAGACGGUAAUAUAGAAUUUUUUUCUUUCCUCGAUUUGGGAUUCAACCGCUGACUUAGGACACCAUAAAUCUCCCAAGUAGUGACUCUGAAUCUUAAAUAAUAAAUCCUAUUUCGAUUGUCCUUUCAUUGGAAAAACUCCCUUAAUCCCUUCAUCCCUUGCGGGGGCAGAAAAAGGAGGUGCGGCAAGAAGAAUAGCAACAAAGUGAAGGACAUUCAAUUUGUAAAAUGAAGCCAGUAGAAACAAAGAUAAGGACAUAGUGCUCUUAUUUUUUGAUUUCAAUUUCCAAAAUGAAGACACUAUGUCCAUAAUACAGAAUUAUCAUAGGAGGCAAUGUCUAUAACUUUAUCAAUUCAGAAAUUCAAAAAAAAAUCAAUUUCUUAUCUAAUAUAUAAUCAAAUCAAUACAGAUCUAAAAAGAAUGAUUGUAGCGAAAUAAAAAUCGAUAGAAACACAUGAAAUUACUUUUUACUGUUUAUCUACGUCGUUUUUUGGAUUAGAAUGCUGAAUUUUUGAAAUCGGGAAGAGAUAUGGUGGUGCCGCUGUGGUAACUGCUGCUGCUGCGCGUUCUUCUCUUUGUGUAACUGCUGCUUGUAUUUGUGUUGAUAGCAUAGGUAUAAAUUAUACCAGAAGGUUAUUUUUGUCCACUCAGGUAUAAAUUUAAUAAAUGAGUGGCUAAAGUCUAAAUACAUUUAAAAAGUGGCUUUAAAAUAAAAGCCACUACCUUUAGUGGCUAUUUGUGUCGUUCGCCCGACAAUAUCCAACUUGUGCCUUUGAAGGUAGGGGGUGGAUUUAGGGGCCGGAUGGGUGUUCAUCCGAAUGCCUUUCGUCGAAUAAUUACAUUAUAUAUAAAAGGCAAAAUUCAGUUGGUACUUUUAUAUUUUAUAUUUUUAAUCUUUUGACACAGUCCAAAAGCAUAGCUCAGUGGUUAAGAAAGUUCAAAACACUGGUACAGUCAUUGAUUCAAUUCUUAUGAUCACACUCUUUUUUAAUUUUUUAAUUUUUUUUUGAACUCCCUUUGCGAAAAUCCUUGUGACGACCCGACCCGUCGUCUUAUGUGUUAUCGCCCUGUUUUUCCCGUGUUAUGCUUCUACAUGCUUCAUUAUAUGUGUUUGUAAAGUUUGAUGUGAUUCGGCCAGAGUUUGGUUGGAAUUGAGACAAUUAGUCUCUAUAAGAAAAGCUUGAGUUGGAAAAAUCAACCGGAUGUUGACUUGUGAGUUAGAGCGCUCGAAAUGGAUUUAUGAUGAUUCGACUAGUUUCGGAUGGUGCUUUAUGACUAGGGAGCAAAAUUAGAAUUUAAUUUGGAGGUCCGGUGUAGAAUUACGCUUGAAUUGGCUAAGUUCGAAUUUUGGCGAAUUCCGGUUAAUAAGUGAGAUUUUAAUCCGAGGGUUGGAAUGAAAUUGCGACAAUUAUAGUAGCUCCUUUAGGUGAUUUUGGAUUUGUGUGCAAAUUUUUAGAUCAUUCGGAAGUGUUUAGGUAGGGUUUUGGAUCAAAUGCGAAUUUGGAAAAGUUCUAGUUUGACUUAGGCUUGAAUUCGAGGAAUUUGGUAACUUUUAUGUUAAUGUUAGUGUUUUUAUGGCCCGAACAAGUUUGAAUGAGGUAAAUGGUCAUGUUGGUGCCUUUAGUUGAGGUCCCGGAGGCCUCGGGGUGAUUUCGGAGGGUAAACCGGGCUAUUCUUGGACUUGGAAGAAAGCUGGUGCACAGCUGUUGGUGUUGCAGAGAAAUGCUUUUCGCGUGAGUCGCGAAAGCAUAGAGGAAAUUUGAGAAGCCUGAAAUUUGGUCUUCGCGUUCGCAUUGAGGGGUCGCGUUCGCAUAGGCUUAGAGUCCCUUGGCCUUCGCAUUUGCGUAGGCAGGACGCGUUCGCGUAGGGGUAGUUUGGGAAAAGCCUGGGUUUGUGCUUCACGUUCGCGUGAAGGGGACGCGUUCGCAGAAGAGAAAGUUGGGCAGCAGGAUUUUUGCUUACGCGUUCGCGGUUGGGCAGAAUGUUUUAAGGGAAAUUUCAGUCGCGAACCCUACCAUAUUUCCACCACUGUUGGACAUCUUAUAGAGCCUUUUGAGCAAAUUGAAGAGGGAUUCGAAGGGGAUUAGCUAGAGGUAAGUUUUAUGGAAUCAAAACAUCUUUUAAACAUGAAUUUAGCCCUUAAUUUCUGAAAUAAAAUUAAAUUGGGGAAGAACUAGGGCUUGGAAUUUUGGACGUAAAUUGGGGAUUUGAAGGAGCAAAUGGACUCCAAUUUUGAUGAAUUUUAUAUGUAUGGACUCGUGGCAAGACGAGGAUUCUGAAAUGUGAAUUUCAUAAUUUUUCGAGAAGUGGGCCCGGGGCUCGGGUUUUGCCAACUUUGUGUUUUUGGAUGAAUUUUGAGUUAUUUCGAUUGGGCUAUGUUCCAUUAGCCUAUUUUGAUGUAUUCCUAUUGGUUUUGAUCAGAUUUGACAUCUGUGGAGGUUGAUUCUCGAGGGAAAGGCAUUGCGAGCUAGUGUCCGG
rnacentral:lncRNA from 1 species